GGCUCGGUAGCGGAGGGUCCGCAUCUGCUCUCCAUAGUUUGUGGAUUUGAUUGGAUCAAGCAGAGCAUGCCUGUUCGACUCAGGCUCGAGCCU